AGCGAUGAAACUUUAACAGAACCCUUCGGGGCGAAGAUAAAGUGGAUUAGCGGCGGACGGGUGAGUAACACGUGAGUAACCUGCCUUAGACAUUGGGAUAGCCUCGGGAAACCGGGAUUAAUACCAAAUAAAAUUAUAAUGACACAUGUCAUAACGAUCAAAACUCCGGUGGUCUAAGAUGGACUCGCGUCCCAUUAGCUAGUUGGUAGAGUAAAAGCCUACCAAGGCGACGAUGGGUAGCCGGCCUGAGAGGGUGAACGGCCACAUUGGAACUGAGAAACGGUCCAAACUCCUACGGGAGGCAGCAGUGGGGAAUAUUGCACAAUGGAGGGAACUCUGAUGCAGCGACGCCGCGUGAACGAAGAAGGCUUUCGAGUCGUAAAGUUCUUUUAUAUGGGAAGAUAAUGACGGUACCAUAAGAAAAAGCCCCGGCUAACUAC
rnacentral:rRNA from 1 species